rnacentral:tRNA from 1 species
GCCCUUGUAGUGUAGUGGAUAGCACACGAUCGUUCUAAGGUCGGUAGCCUGGGUUCGAAUCCUAGCAGGGGUA